UCCGCUCGUUAAAUGGGAGGCGAAGCCCUCUCCAUCCUUUUUGUCUUAUCAUCAUCGGCUGCUCUUUGAUUCGAUCCAUCCUUUUAUUCUCGUGUUCUCGGCUAUUUUUCCUUGAGAUUGUAGUUCGAUUUUGAUCUGCGAUCAUUCUAGUUCUUCGGUUUCUGCUUCGGACCAAGAAUUUCCCCAUUUUUUGAGGGUUUCGAUCGUCUCCCGCUGAAUCCGGCGGUUGAAUGAUCGAUUCCGGAUUUUGAUGCCGCCUUCUGAAGGUUGCAUGCGUGGUUGACAACGAGAGAGAGCACGCCGGUCCGCAAUCAUGCGGGCGGCCAUGGUUGUGUGUACCAGUGUGCUCUUUCUCGUCGUCACCUGGCUCGCUCGCCCUCGCGACGAAGCGUGUUCUGUGCCUAGAUGCCCUCUAGAUUGAAGGAAAGAAGAGAGAGUUGUAUUAAAUCUAUCAUGCCAGUAGAAUGCAAUCAAUAAAUUUUCAUCUUCUGGGCAAGCCAGCGCAUUGUCUUGCUACCUGGGCAAGAACUUCAUCUUCUGACUGUUUUCGGGAAAUAGGUGGCAGGCUAAUAACUGUGUUCUGUGCUUGUGCAUGUUGCAUGAUGUACAUGUUUGCUGGUUAGAUGCAUUGGUACAGUAUGAUUGACGUACACCGUUAUGGACCUACUUGGGAUAACUACACGCCCUAACAUAUGAUUGAUCUAAGUACAUCAACUGGCAUGACAUAGCAUGUUACGUACCACGAGACCUUGAUUGACAUAGGCACAAUGAUUGACAACUUUGAAUUGCAUUCGGUCACGUAAAUGAUCUUUUGUAAGUACAUAAGUUGUACACGGAAGUUGAUAUUUUUCAACAAGUAUUUGUAAGUACAUAAAAAAAUGAAUUUUUCAGUUACAAUGGAGGUACUGCUUUGUGUUGUUUUGAUCCACCACAUACAUUUGUCACCAAGACUUAGUUAAUGUUGAUGAUCAAGUUCCUAUGGAUGCCUCUUUCUUAACUGGAGAAUAGAACUUAAUGGAACAUUUGAUCUUUGCUACUGAAAAAUCUGCCUUACCAUGAAUCUUUUGUCACUAGCUAGCAUGAUCCUUAUUUACUAGCACGUGGUACAUGACUUUGUUUAUGCAUGUGAAGAUAUGUUUAUCCCUCUUUUGUUUGGUUUUUACUUUUUAGUACUAUCGACAAAAGAAUUUGCAGAUGACAGGUUGAUUACUAAACUUCAUACUAAUAAUUUUGAUGACAUUUAUUUUAGUCACUUUAAUUGCCAAUUGUAGUGAAAGAAUCAGAAAUUGAUGUGUAAAAAUUACUUAUUUGCUACUUCCUACUUGUUUGUUAUAGAGCUAUGUUGAAAGAAGAUUGACAGCAACAAUUUAGGUUGCAUAAAAUUACAUGAUAACACAGAAAAUUAGUGUACAGCCAAACAAAGAGGAAAUUUUUUGUCGUUUGUUUAAUACACAAUGUCUAACCUAUAAAUAUAUAGGCAGACUCUACAAGCAGAAACGAAGCUGAUAGAUUUCUGAAAUGCAAUUUUUGAAGUUUGAACAAUGUCAACAUUUUACAUUUGGUGGUGACUCUUAGAUGGAAAACCAUCAAACACAAAUUUCAAUGGCCUGUGUGGUUGAAGUUGUGAACUAAAUGUGUCCAUGGUCAACUUAGCCUAAACAAGUUCCUUAUAUUGUCGUCUUAUGUAGCCUUGAGGUUUUUUUUUUGGUGUACAUACAAUGGGUCAGCUUGUAUUUUGAUUUGGAAGCUUCAUGUUGAAAAAUGUCUUAAUACUUUAUUCGAUGCAUGAUAUUUUGGUUUUCUCAUGACUCAUGGAAGUAUAUUAACUUCACCCACCGUAUAUAUUUCUCAAAAAACGUGGCUAUGGAUCCUGCUAGAUGUGAAUUUUGGUACUUUCACUUACCCACAUGCAUGUGUGAUUCCAGUCAGGUUUUAGGUUUCAGGCGUGGAUCCUGCUAGAUGUGAAAUCUGAUAUAAUUCAGUAUAGUAUGGAUCCAUGCCCCUAGAUAUAACCAACACAUCUUUUAUUUGGCCUCAGACAGGUUCUGCAUAUUUCUUUUACAUGAUGUUUCUCCACCAGCAUUAAAAUUUGCAACAACCUUAGGUUCCAACUUUGUUUUUUCCAACUAAUACAAGUUUUAGACGGAAGUAAUAAAGAAUCUUUGUAAUAGUUUCAAGAAUUUAUAAUGCAUGAUUUUUCAAAAGCUUUUUAUUCAACGUGUAUGUACCUUGUAGAGUGAUCAACAAGUUUUGUAGGUAGCACAGCUCUGAAUUGUGCUCUGUGCUUGUGCAUUUUGCAUGAUGUACAUGUUUUCUGGUUAGCUACAGAUGCACCGAUACAGUCUGAUUGAUGCACACCAUCAGGUACCUACUUGCCCUAACAUGUGAUUGAUUGGUCGAAGUACAUCAAUGGCAGGAUACCAUGUGAGACAGAGAUUGACGCAGUCAUAGCAAUUGGUACUUUGAACUGUAUUUGGUCACAUAACUGAUCUUUCUCAUGAUGUUGAUAGUUUUGAACGAGUAUUUUUAAGUAUAUAGAAAAUGGAUCCAUGCUUGGUUUAGUUUGAAAUUAAAACUUAAUUUGCUUUAUUAAUGUCUACUUUAAAACUUAUUGUUAUGUUUUUAACUGAAGUUUAAAAUGCUAAAUGAAAACUUUUAACAAAAAUCAUACCUUAGUUGCAGAUAGAUCAGAGUGAAAGAGAGCUCUAAUUGAGAGGAAAGAUGCAGCCUCGUCAGAUCACUGAAUGAGAGAGAAAGAAAAAGAAAGAGAGAGGAAUCGAAGAGAUGGCAUGAAAGAGACAUUUUUAAGCACCAUGACAUGAUAACUUCGGUUAGGGGCCUUAAAUUCCUCGUUUUGUUCUUAUUCCAUUAUUUGUUCCCCUGUCUUGUUCACUAUUCUGUAUAACAAUUACAUGUAAAUGCAUCUAGAAACAAGUCUUUAAGACUCUGGAAUGAUGUGAUAGAAUCCAGUAUGAAGACUAGUUAAUCUUUGAAUUGGCGAACUAUAUUGGUGGACUUCCACAAAAUGACUCAGCUGGUGAAAAGCCAGUUCUGAUGUACAUUUGUGAUGAUUGUGACCUUUAUUUAUACGAUGCUUUGAUUAUGAUUUGGACUUGGUUUUGUUGUUGUAGUUGCUGCUUGGAUUAUGAUCUGUUACUUUUUAAACUUACACUUGUUGUAACAGUAGCUAUAACAUAAACUUAUGUUAGUUUUUGUUAAUUCUUAGAUGUGCUUGCAAGUUAUAGAUAAUUCCGAUGAGAUUUAGGAGACCAAGGAUAUUUACUGCAAGAUUCGUAAAUAUGCUGUGAUUUAAUGGUUUUUGGAGACAUGCUUCUGUAGAUCAUAGUUUUAUUAUAGAGUGUGUUAAUCCUCUCACAGUUUCUGUUAUUUGUUGUGGAAGGACUUUCCCAUGCCUAGCUUAAUUGCCAUCUGUCUGACACCUGAUUGGAAACAUACUCUUAGCUCUUGUAAUUUUAUUAUUGGCUAAUCCUUCGCAAAAUUUUGCCUGUAAAUGUAUGGGGUUAUUAUGUUUAUGAUUUAAUCUUUAUUUUUUUAUCCAUCAGCAGUAAAAUAUAUUCUCAUCAAUUCCUUGCAUGUUUUUUUUCUGAGCUUUUUGCAUUCAACUGUGAAUGUUUAUCGGCUUUAGCUGUUAUCAUUUGACUGAAUUAUAGUUUUGUGAUCUAAUUCUCGUGCUACUCAAAGAUAAUAAAUAGUACCAAGUGAUGUUUUUCUGUCUGCCAGUAUAAGUUGUUGAUGAGGCUGCAGAAAGUAAUUUGUUGCUAUUAAGAUGCAGGCCCUACCUCUGUCAUCAAUGAAUACUAGUCAUGAGUCAUUGUUUGUUCUAUCGAUUUACUGUUUAACUAUUAUUGAUUUUGGACCUGCUAUAAUUUCUUUUCUUUAUCAUUAGAAAAAUGAAAAGAAAGCUAGAUGGCUUGGCUUCCAUGCUUUUGAGGGCUUCAGUGGAUCGAGUUGGUGCAUAAUCCAGGACUUGGUUUCAGUUACUUGUUUGAUCUCCAGCGAUAACCCAGUUCUGGUGCAUGAAAGGAGGUAAAUCACCUUUUACAGUCACCAGAUAAUGAGCAUAGACUGGAAUGAGGUCGAUAAGGAUUACAUCAUUGAAGAAGAAUAAUGAUCAUAAAUAAGCCAUCCAAUCAAAUGUGCAUUUGUAUGAUGAUAAGGAUGGAAACGUCAAAUGGCCAAAGAUCUGAAGGAUGCAAAUAUCAUUUCCAUCGCAAAACAAAGAUGCAAAUGCCUACAGAAAAACAUGUUCAGGGGAUUCAUUGGCUGCCACUAUAUCAGAGUUUCCAGCCACAAACUCCUCAAGGGUCAGAGCAGGGAGGGAGAGAAACUCCGGAGCUCCAUCCCGGUUGUGCAAUGUGAUAAUCGUCCUCGAUCCAUCGCAUCCAAUGUGAGUCACAUGCUGCACAUCCGUUGGGAAUCCAAUCUCCAUCUCCACCUCUUCAUCUUCCUCCCUCUGCAGUGCAAACAACUGAGCCAUGCUCUUGAUCAGUCGCUGCAGCGCUGCAGAUAUGUUGUGCCUCGGAAGAGGAGGAAACCCCAGCGAUCUCUUCAUCUCCAACCUCGGUAAGCUCUCUUGUACACCUUUUGAUAACAAAAAGAAGUUUCUCCUGGUAUCAUUUACUGAAAGGAACACAGAAUGGCAUUGAGAGUAAGAAUGAGAAGUUUACUUUGCGAUGAUUGAGUGAUUCUGUCGGGGCUUUCUUGUGCUGCUUUCUAUCAACCGAAAUAUCUCAUUGCCUAUUAAUGGAGAUGGAAAGGGCACAAUGGAGUGCAACAGAAGAAAGAAGGGACCUGCAGACAGAAUGGCUUAUCAUGACAGGGGGAAGUGUUUGUUGAAAUCUCUGACGAUGGAUGUCAUUGACUUGGUCAUCAAGUUAGCAGAUCUCCAUAGUCUAUAGCAGGGCAUAGACGUGUGGUUGGUUGCUACUUUACUCGUUGCUGGUUGCAGUGCCGUCUGUAGUCCUGUAUUGUGUUUCUGAGAAGGCUCCUAUGGUGUGGCAAAUAUGUGUAGCUACUCUAUUGUGUCACUCACUGCCUCUCCCUUUUGAUCACUCAAAAUCUUAUCAAGAGUGCAAUCCAAGCAAUUCAUCCAAUCAUCCAGAACUGAUGCCAUCAUUUAGAAACAAGAUCAAGAACGUCCGAGUCAGUCAGGCGGUCACAGGAAAAUAAAAAAGAAAAAGGAAGAGAUAUGGGAGACUCCACUGUCGCUUUCUUUUGUUUGUAAUAUUGAAUGCUUUGGAGUGGACAAUGAUCAAGUACAAGUCACCAUCGGAAUCUAUAUCCAAGGAUGCUGCAGUCCUUUUGCUGGCCUUAAAAGCAAAUGGAGUUUUGAGGGCUCCAGUUAAUUCUUUUGGAGUAUGUAACUUCAAUUCUUCUCUCCAACAAAUAAUCAUCCCAUCCCAUGGAAAUUUUAUUGUGCGAGUUCCCAACACUCGAAUGUAUCUGGUAAUCAUCUGUGACCUAUUCUGUAAUCUUCACUCGGAAGCCAUCUGCGGCCAUCAGCCCCCAUCACUGUUCAGGUAUCAGUCACCGUCAUCUUCACUUCUGUUUUUUUCCUUACCGAUUCGAGACAGAGCUUUCAAUUUGAGUUGGAUUAAACAUGGUUCAAUAUGUAGUUAAACUGUCCAAUUGUAAGUUGACACAUAAUUUUUUUUUGGACAGACUUAACUUACCCUAAAUCCAAUCUGUUGUUAGCCAAUUUUAUAAAAUAAUAUAUGGCGUCUUAAGCACUUUUUAAAUAAUUUUCAA